CAACAGAUGGGUUUUUAUUUAACAAUGUGUUUGAUACAGAAGAAUGUCAGUUUGAUCAGUGCACACGGUUUAUAAACACCAUUUCCACAUUGAAAGACAAAACAAAUAAUACUUUGUUUUCUGCAAAAUUCUAUUAAUGUGCUUAUUUUUGGUCCGAUGGGGACUUUGAAAUCCUAUUCACAGCUUGUUCGUAAAAUAUUUAGCCUACCGAUGAGCAGUAUGCAUUCAGCUUUAUAAAUAGCAUUUAUGUCAAACUAAAGUCAAAGUAAUACUGGAACACAAAGUACAGAAAAAUAUACAUACUCAGUAUAUUAUGAGGUUAAAUAUACAUACACGUGUCUGUAUAAACCUUAAAGCAACGAACAUUAAAAAAAUAAAAGCAUAUUGGCCAAAAUCUCCAUUUUAUAAAGGCAUGCUGUAUUUUAUGUAUUUUAUUGUUGGUUUGUUAGUUUUUGGAUGCAGGCCAUAAUUUGGAUAUAUUAAAGGGAUAAUGUAGUGCCAGGAAUACAAAGCUGUAUUCAUGACACUCUCCCUCCCUCACCCUUUAUUUACUAGCCUAAUCCUAGCGCCGAUGUCCCUCAGCGCUGGGUCAACGGUCGUGGCAAAUGCUGCAUGCGCAUUAGACCUCCCUAUAGGAAAGCAUUGAAGCAAUGCUUUCCUAUGGGGGGAAAAUCUGCUGCUGUAGGUCCUCAUGCAGAGUGUGAGGAUGUCCCGCAUCAGUUACCAGACCGUUUCAAACCAGGAAGCGUCCCCAGUGGCUGGCUGGUAGCCACUGGAGGCAGACUUAGAGCUGCAAUGUAAACAUUGCGGUUUCUCUGAAACAGCAAUGUUUUUUACAUUGGUGGACUAUGUGCAAUAGAGACCCUGUACCCAGACCACUUUAAUGAGCUGAAAUGGUCUGGGUGCCUAUAGUGUCCCUUUUAAAGGGGAUAAUUCACAAACUAUCAAAUAGCAAAGUCUAGCGCAAAAUCGCCAAGCCAUGACACAGUCAAGCUGUAUAAUGUUUCUAAAUUGGCUCUUUUAACCUAAAUGUGGCCUAUUG